rnacentral:rRNA from 1 species
CCUACGGGAGGCAGCAGUGAGGAAUAUUGGUCAAUGGGCGGAAGCCUGAACCAGCCAAGUAGCGUGCAGGAUGACGGCCCUACGGGUUGUAAACUGCUGUUAUACGGGAAUAACGCGCCUUACGUGUAGGUCUUUGCAUGUACCGGAUGAAUAAGGACCGGCUAAUUCCGUGCCAGCAGCCGCGGUAAUACGGAAGGGCCGGGCGUUAUCCGGAUUUAUUGGGAUUAAAGGGAGCGUAGGCCGCAUGUCAAGCGUGCUGUGAAAUGUCCGGGCUCAACCCGGGCCUUGCAGCGCGAACUGGCGUGCUUGAGUCCGCGGAAAGCAGGCAGAAUUCGUCGUGUAGCGGUGAAAUGCUUAGAUAUGACGAAGAAACCCGAUUGCGAAGGCAGCUUGCUGCAGCGGAACUGACGCAGAUGCUCGAAAGCGCGGGUAUCGAACAGGAUUAGAUACCCUUGUAGUC